rnacentral:tRNA from 1 species
GCCCGGGUGGCGGAACCAGGUAUACGCAGGAGACUUAAAAUCUUCCGGCCGCGAGGCCAUGUGGGUUCGAUUCCCACCCCGGGCACCA